rnacentral:rRNA from 1 species
AGAGUUUGAUCCUGGCUCAGAACGAACGCUGGCGGCGUGCUUAAUACAUGCAAGUCGAACGAUAACGUCCGCUUCGGCGGAUUAUUAAAGUGGCGAACGGGUGAGGAACACGUGGAUAAUCUUCCUCUAUGUCUGGGAUAAUCCUUCGAAAGGAGGUCUAAUACCGGAUAAUACUUUCUGGUGGCAUCACCAGAUAGUCAAAGGCGGGGUAACCUGCCGUUUAGAGAUGAGUCCGCGCCCCAUUAGCUUGUUGGUAGGGUAACGGCCUACCAAGGCUCCGAUGGGUAGCCGGCCUGAGAGGGCGACCGGCCACACUGGGACUGAGAUACGGCCCAGACUCCUACGGGAGGCAGCAGUAAGGAAUAUUGCGCAAUGGACGAAAGUCUGACGCAGCAACGCCGCGUGGGUGAUGAAGCAUCUUGGUGUGUAAAACCCUUUCAGUGGGGAAGAACCGUGCAAUGAGUAACUGCUUUGCACCUGACGGUACCCACAGAAGAAGUCCCGGCUAACUCCGUGCCAGCAGCCGCGGUAAUACGGGGGGGACGAGCGUUGUUCGGAUUUACUGGGCGUAAAGGGCGCGUAGGCGGACCUUCAAGUCGGAAGUGAAAACCGUUGGCUUAACCAGCGGCCUGCUUUCGAUACUGUCGGU